UAACUGCAUUGUUUAUGCACUGUGUAUAAUGAAAAGGAAUUUUUUUUUUCUUUUUGUAUCAAGAUAUAUAAAUAUAUAGUUCCUUUUAUUAUAGAAGCUAUUUACUCUUAAAAAAAAAAGGAAGAAAUACCCUUACAGAGUGAGCAUCGUUUUACUAAAAGGUUCCUGCAGCUAAGCAGAUUUAGCUCUGCUUUUAAAUAAAUACAGGGAAAUGUUUAACCCCUAUUGUAUGGCUACAAAGCCUGUGCUGAUCACAGAGAAGCUUGGGAGGGUGGGGGACAAAGCGACGGACUGCUCUUGUACGUGCUUCUGCACACAGUUCAGCAACAGCAGGGCUUAACAGCAGAGUUUUGUCAAGAUUACAACAUGAAGAGGAGCAUGGUGCAAAUUCUUACCUCUCACUAACAAAAAGAAAGGGAUAAAAAAAAAGCAAUCCAUCAAAAAGGGAAGAGGACUAUAUAGCUAUAUGUGCAAGGCAAGGCAGUGACAUAAAGACCUGUCAUACAGGGAAUAAGAAAGAAGAUAGAGACCAUCUUGCUCAGAAGUUAUUUGUACAAAGUUUCAGUUUGUCUGGACAAGUUUCUCCAAUCCUCUAUGUGAUAUGGAGGCUUUUAGGCCACGCAGGUUUUGAAGGUAUUGAAGCUCCUUCACAUCUAGAACAGCAGACUGCAGAAAGGUAGCAUGCUUCU